GCAAGAUACUAGGAUUUACUGGGGGUAGGACCUCUUGUAAGUCCGCACGGGUAGGUGCCACCGCCCUAUCUAUUUCUGCCGUGAAGCAGUAAUGCGUUUCGGUUCGAAGGGUGGGGCAGCCGUUGUAACUAUACUGAGACCUUAACUCAUAUCUCAAAGGCAUUUACGUUGUCUAUGUGCUUAUUUAUUGUGUUUAAUGUAUGUUUUAUUAUAUCGACGCUUGAAAGGUAAACGUGACUAAGCGACAAUAACUGCUUUGUACAUAAAUGAUAGGCAAUAACCAUAUUCGAUGCGCAAAAAAUAUAUAUUUCUAGGUUUAUUGUAAUAAUUUCAAUCCUACAGCUACUAGCUAGAUUCUACUACAGCUAGAUUCGUUAAAAUAAAUUUUGUUUUCAGGUAUUUUAACUUUAAAUUUUAUUAGUCUACUGUAAAGUUCACGCAUUGUCGCUUAGUCACGUUUGCCUUUCAAGCGUCGAUAUGUUUCAUUGUUUAUGGGCUCCGGUAACCACUUAAGGGCUUCGACCACCUACCUAUGCAAUAAAUAAAAAAAAUCGCAAAUAUUAAUAACAAAUUAAAAUACAACAACACUGCCAAGAAAAAAAAAAGAGAUGAUGAAGGAUUCCAACAAUCCAAGGAUUACAUUCAAAUCCCUUCAGAUAUACAUAAGAUAUGGUGUAUUAAAGAAACCCUCACACACGCACAGACUCUCAAAAGCAUUACCCUUCUUUUUCGGCGGUCGGGUUAAGAGAGUACAUCUUCGGUCAUCGACCCUCGCCACCGACGCACAUAGUAAAAAAUUAGUUUUAUUAGGCGGUGACACUAAGUAAUUUUUUCCGAUACCUAUUAGCUGUUAGAUUAAGGGGACUAUUCUGAUAGGUGAGCUCACAGGGCUCAGUCUAGGAGACAUAACACUAGCCCUAGCAAGAGCAGUGCUUCGCAGAAUCUACUACCGAAUCGGAAACGUGACCAACUGAGAAGAUCCGACGAGAAACUCAGUGUGUUGAGUCCAUGGGUAGUACUAAAUAAUAUAUCGACCGGCCAUAUGAUACAUACUAAUAAGGAUCAAUUGUGUAAGUCUAGUGGCGACACGAUCGAAUGACUUAAUGGGUAUUGGGUCAAGGAUUCUAGUCUGGUCACUUAAAAGUUUUUAUUGUUGGAUGUUUUUUUUAACGACAAGGCGAAGGCAAACGGUGUCUUACUGACUAGAGAUACUUCAUGAAGGCUCUUGGAGUAACCGGCCCCCUGAUCACGUAAAAAUUUGCGACAGCCACAAUUUUGCAGAUGUUGUGCAGACGCGUCGCGACCGAUCGCAAAACGUCAAAUUAUUUCGUAUCACGUACCGCGAUUGUUCGCUUACCGCUUACUGCAGUUUUCUGUCAUACAACUAGCGCCAGUCGCAAUCGGGUAGCAAUAAUUGGCACUAAAAAGCCACAUUACUUUUUUUUUUUUGCUGAACAAACCGGCAAAUGAUUUUAUAAAAGCGCGUUACAUAUUAUUAUAAACAUUUCAAAAUGUUUAAGUGGAAUUCACGUUUGAAACGCCAAGUGAGAGCUGCUAAUUCUGUUCUUUUCGAUGAAGCGUUACUAAAAAUAAGUGAUCUAAUAAUAAUUUUUCCUUUAUUUUGAAUGAUAGCUAUAAAAAUGUAAUUGUGUCAUGUCAAACACUGAUAACAUUUGUUUUUGUAAUCGUUUGAUAAUUUGUAAUCAGAUAGUUGUUUACGUUAUGAACCUAUUUUAAAAAAGAAUGGAUUAAAAUUAUAGCCUAAUUUAUUAAUUUCAUUAUCAAUUAAGUAAGUACAUAAGCUCACAACCCAUCUAGUGUUAAGUGGUAUAGACCUCACAACGUGAAUGCCGCCCCCACCUUUAGAAACGAGGUCUGAGUUUCAACUGUAUACCAAAACGGCUGCCCCAUUCUUCAAAUUGCAACGCAUUACUGCUUCGCGGUAGAAAUGGGCGGAAUGGUGGUCUUGCGGGUUAAUCAAACGCCCUACCACCAACGAUUUCUUAAAGAAUAUUUGCUAAUUUGAUUUUAAAUAAAAGAUGAAUGAAUCCUUAAUCAUGGAAGUCUUCCAUGUACCUAUAUAUGUCAAAUACGUGUUUCAUUGGAUUUAUUGAUAUCUGCCUGCGGGAUUCUAACACUGGUUUAGUCGCAUCUUUAUUAGAAAGUCGGCCGUCUCUACUACACCGCUUAGGCCACGACGAUUUCAAAUUAAAUAGUAAAUUCUAGAAUAAAUGAGUUAGUUUUAUGGUUUUAUCAAUAAUAACGUGUAACUGUGUAACAAAUCCAUCUCACACCGACAUGAGGCCGACAACGCUAGAACAACCAGUCGAUGAUAUUCUAGGCGAGAUGCUGCUAUUCUUUAUCAAGUAAUAGAUAGUGGAUUUGUUUGACUUGGAAAGAGUAGGCUUUGAUUUGAAUACCAGAAAUAUAGUGCACUCUUUCACAGCUUGAAGGGAAAUAAAAGCUGUGCAGACUAUUCAAAAUAAUGUUCACCCAAGGUCAUGGGCAAUAUGACGUGAAUAGGAAACUGCAUGUCAGACAUUAACUUAAUGUUCUAUAUUAUUUUUAAACAAACGAAUCUCAUAUUUUAAGACAAUAAAUAAGUAUUUAUUUGUAUAAUUAGCCCAGUUUUUCGUCGACGAAGCCAUCUUAAGAGAAGCUUCAUUGCAAAUAUCAGGCCAAUAUUUAACUAUAGCGGACAACAAACAAGAGUAGACCCAUCGUGAGCUGUAGUUGUAGAAAGAGGAGAAAAUGGAAACUAAGGCGAACCACUGGCUCAUGCAGCUUUCAUUUCAGCAGAGGCUGCUCGUACGCAGGCAGAGGCCGCGCAUCUUCCAGCUGAGAUAUUUGUAUCUCAGUUAAAAAAAUUCAAGGAAUUGACCAAUAUCGGCAAAAACCUUGUUUAAAAUAAUAAGUUCAAUUUUGUUCCGUCCGUAAUAGUUUAUAUUACCAUUUCCGUGUGAGUCCGUAAUAGUUUAUAUUACCAUAAAAACGAAAUAGCGCUUGUUACAAUAGUCAAGCAAAUCCAAAUAUGUACGUUUUACUUUAGGCUGGUACUACAGUAAAUUUUAUGACACUAAUGAGCAUAUUUUACGCUAAUAAAACUACUCUCAACUUAGCAUUUCAAAA